rnacentral:rRNA from 1 species
GGCGGCGUGCUACACAUGCAGUCGAACGAUGAACCACCUUCGGGUGGGGAUUAGUGGCGAACGGGUGAGUAACACGUGGGCAAUCUGCCCUUCACUCUGGGACAAGCCCUGGAAACGGGGUCUAAUACCGGAUACUGACCUGCCAAGGCAUCUUGGCGGGUCGAAAGCUCCGGCGGUGAAGGAUGAGCCCGCGGCCUAUCAGCUUGUUGGUGAGGUAAUGGCUCACCAAGGCGACGACGGGUAGCCGGCCUGAGAGGGCGACCGGCCACACUGGGACUGAGACACGGCCCAGACUCCUACGGGAGGCAGCAGUGGGGAAUAUUGCACAAUGGGCGAAAGCCUGAUGCAGCGACGCCGCGUGAGGGAUGACGGCCUUCGGGUUGUAAACCUCUUUCAGCAGGGAAGAAGCGAAAGUGACGGUACCUGCAGAAGAAGCGCCGGCUAACUACGUGCCAGCAGCCGCGGUAAUACGUAGGGCGCAAGCGUUGUCCGGAAUUAUUGGGCGUAAAGAGCUCGUAGGCGGCUUGUCACGUCGGUUGUGAAAGCCCGGGGCUUAACCCCGGGUCUGCAGUCGAUACGGGCAGGCUAGAGUUCGGUAGGGGAGAUCGGAAUUCCUGGUGUAGCGGUGAAAUGCGCAGAUAUCAGGAGGAACACCGGUGGCGAAGGCGGAUCUCUGGGCCGAUACUGACGCUGAGGAGCGAAAGCGUGGGGAGCGAACAGGAUUAGAUACCCUGGUAGUCCACGCCGUAAACGGUGGGCACUAGGUGUGGGCAACAUUCCACGUUGUCCGUGCCGCAGCU